rnacentral:rRNA from 1 species
CCUACGGGAGGCAGCAGUAGGGAAUCUUCCGCAAUGGACGAAAGUCUGACGGAGCAACGCCGCGUGAGCGAAGAAGGCCUUCGGGUCGUAAAGCUCUGUUGUUAGGGAAGAACAAGUGCCAGAGUAACUGCUGGCACCUUGACGGUACCUAACCAGAAAGCCACGGCUAACUACGUGCCAGCAGCCGCGGUAAUACGUAGGUGGCAAGCGUUGUCCGGAAUUACUGGGCGUAAAGCGCGCGUAGGCGGCUUGGCAAGUUGGGCGUGAAAGUCCUGGGCUCAACCUGGGGACGGCGUCUGAGACUGCCUGGCUGGAGUCCGGGAGAGGGUGGUGGAAUUCCCAGUGUAGAGGUGAAAUUCGUAGAUAUUGGGAGGAACACCGGUGGCGAAGGCGGCCACCUGGCCCGGUACUGACGCUCAAGUGCGAAAGCGUGGGGAGCAAACAGGAUUAGAUACCCUGGUAGUCCACGCUGUAAACGAUGGGUGCUGGAUGUCGGGGGGCUUGCCCUUCGGUGUCGUAGCUAACGCGUUAAGCACCCCGCCUGGGGAGUACGGCCGCAAGGUUAAAACUCAAAGGAAUUGACGG